GGUCCCGGCACUUUAACGGGGAGGGAUAAUCAAAAAAGGAAAAAUCGGGCCGGGCGCGGUGGCUCACGCGCGUAUUCCUAACACUUUGGGAGGCCGAAGGGGGAGGAUCUCUUGAGCCCAGGAGUUUGAGACCAGCCUGAGCGAUGUGGUGAAAGCCUAUCUCUACAAAAAAUAAAAAAAUUAACUGGGCGUGGUGGCGCACGCUGUGAUCCCAGCUGCUCGGGAGGCUAAGGUGGGAGGAUCACUUGAGGCUGAGAGGUCAAGGAUGCAGUGAGCCGAGAUCGCGCCACUGUACUCCAGCCUGGGCGACAGAAUGAGACGCUGUCUCAAUUGAAUGAGAAGAAAAAAAAUAAAACUAAAGAACGAAUCCUGCCUUGAUGGCAGAAUGUUUAGACACAGGAACCACCUGAAAGCUCCCAGUUGCCAAAGAUGGAACCAUUUGAGCAACGAAGUAAACUAAACAAGGUAGUAUUGGAUUACAAGCCAAAGUAAAAAAAUCCAUGAGUCUACACUGAUAUAAAUAAAUAAUUGAAUAAAUAAAUAAAAGGCGGAGAGGAGACAAAUCUCCUAUACAGAAUAAUUCCAAAUAAUUUAUGUAGAUCAUGUACCCUAGGCUGUGCACAGUGACUUCCUCCAAAAUAGUACAAUGUGGAAAGGGAAAAACAGUAGGUUUACAAUGGAGAAAGCCGACAGACACUACCCCAGCCAGAUGUUCUAAGCCAACGUCAACAAUCGUGACUCAUUGAUGGC
rnacentral:lncRNA from 10 species